rnacentral:rRNA from 1 species
CAAUAGCGUAUAUUAAAGUUGUUGCGGUUAAAAAGCUCGUAGUUGGAUUUCUGCUGAGAACGACCGGUCCGCCCUUUGGGUGUGUAUCUGGCUCUUUCUUGGCAUCUUCUUGGUGAACGUUGCUGCACUUGACUGUGUGGAGCGCUACCCAGGACUUUUACUUUGAGGAAAUUAGAGUGUUCAAAGCAGGCAUCGCCGUUGAAUACAUUAGCAUGGAAUAAUAAGAUAAGACUUUGGUGGUCUAUUUUGUUGGUUUGCACGCCAAAGUAAUGAUUAAUAGGGAUAGUUGGGGGUAUUCGUAUUCUAUUGCUAGAGGUGAAAUUCUUAAAUUUAUGGAAGACGAACUACUGCGAAAGCAUUUACCAAGGAUGUUUUCAUUAA